rnacentral:rRNA from 1 species
AACGCUGGCGGCGCGCUUAACACAUGCAAGCCGAGCGAGAACCCAGGCUUCGGCCUGGGGGAAAGCGGCGAACGGGUGAGUAUCACGUGGGUAAUCUGCCCUCGACAUCGGGAUAGCCCGGGGAAACCCGGAUUAAUACCGGAUACCCCAUCUGGCCUUCGGGCCGGCUGGAAAAGGUAGCUUCGGCCUCCGGUCGGGGCCGAGCCCGCGGCGGAUUAGCUUGUUGGUGGGGUAAUGGCCCACCAAGGCGACGAUCCGUAGCUGGCCUGAGAGGACGAUCAGCCACACUGGGACUGAGACACGGCCCAGACUCCUACGGGAGGCAGCAGUGGGGAAUCUUGCGCAAUGGGCGAAAGCCUGACGCAGCGACGCCGCGUGAGGGAAGAAGGCCUUCGGGUUGUAAACCUCUUUCAGGAGGGACGAAGCCACUCGGGUUAAUAGCCCAGAGGGUGACGGUACCUCCAGAAGAAGCCCCGGCUAACUACGUGCCAGCCGCCGCCGUAACAC